AAUAGAUACCCAGGUAGUCCACGCCGUAAACGAUGAGUGCUAAGUGUUAGAGGGUUUCCGCCCUCUAGUGCUGCAGCUAACGCAUUAAGCACUCCGCCUGGGGAGUACGGCCGCAAGGCUGAAACUCAAAGGAAUUGACGGGGGCCCGCACAAGCGGUGGAGCAUGUGGUUUAAUUCGAAGCAACGCGAAGAACCUUACCAGGUCUUGACAUCCUCUGCCAACCCUAGAGAUAGGGCGUUCCCCUUCGGGGGACAGAGUGACAGGUGGUGCAUGGUUGUCGUCAGCUCGUGUCGUGAGAUGUUGGGUUAAGUCCCGCAACGAGCGCAACCCUUGAUCUUAGUUGCCAGCAUUCAGUUGGGCACUCUAAGGUGACUGCCGGUGACAAACCGGAGGAAGGUGGGGAUGACGUCAAAUCAUCAUGCCCCUUAUGACCUGGGCUACACACGUGCUACAAUGGAUGGUACAAAGAGCUGCGAACCCGCGAGGGUAAGCGAAUCUCAUAAAGCCAUUCUCAGUUCGGAUUGUA
rnacentral:rRNA from 1 species